UAGUGGGUCUUGUGUUGAAUUGAGUCAUCGACGUAGAGAGAGAGGGAGAGACUUCGAGAAAUAGAGCUCAAGAAGGAGAAAGAAGAUAGGAAGAAGAGGAAGUGAAAGGGAACUUGAAUUCUUCAUAAAUUCACCAACUUAAGGCGAGCAAGUGCCGGAGUGGACUUAGCAAAGUCGACCCGAACCCUGUUUUGUCAAGCCAACUACUGUGCCUCACCGCGAGGUUCCGAACCGUCACGUGUUCUGGCUUUUGGAUGUUUUUACCUUGCCCUCUUGUGGCUAUGACUCUAUGUUAUGGAAUUUUUGUUUCAGACUUUUGUUUUGACCGUUUUGUUUUUGGGAUUUAAUUUCCUAAGUUAUGACAUGUUUGGACUUGGCCUUAUGUGAUAUGUGAAUAUCUAUAUAUGCAAGUUUGUUUUGUUCAUUUAAGUCCUUACAACUCAUUGGACGAUAUAUUUUAUUAUCAAUUGGCUUCCGUCGGCUACUAUUAUUGUAUUAUUGUUAUUACUAUUAAGCGGACCUUUGGUAAUUACAAAUUACUGGCUAGUUACGAUGUUAAAUCCUUAGAGGUGGGUUUGGGUUACGAUGCUAAAUCCUUGGAGGCGGGUUUGGGUCGUGACAUGUGUACACUCUAUUCUCCAUCAAGUGGCAUUCCUAGGAAUUAUUGUUGAAACUUGUGUUGGUAUGUUGGAGCUCUUCCUGCUUGUUUGUUGCCUCCAAAAAUUCUGAGACGCUUAAGUAGGGUUGAUUGUAUAAAUCUUUUUCGCCAUUUUUCUCUAUAAAUGACUAUAGAAUCAGUUAAAUUAUUUAACUUCAUGUUUCUUUCACUACUACAUUCCACGUCAAUUUAAAUCUUUCCUGCCCAUGAUAGUUCCAUUUAUGGCGAUCAUAUCAUUUGUUCUAACCGUUGCAUCUACAACACUAACAUUUAUGGAUCACUCAUCCUAACCUUUUGAGAUUGGUAAAAGAUUCACUUAAGAUGGAAUAUGUAUUUACCUAUAUUUAUGACUAAGAUGUAAUGAUUAAAUAUUAAGAUUUUGUGUCACUGGGCUAUAGAAUUGUUAAUUUUUAAUUUUAUAAUUUUUUUUAUUUAAUAAAUGGGUUUGUUGGACGGGCUCAUGGUAUGCAAUUGUAAUACUGUUUUAGGCCGGACUCGAGGGAUACUUUUACACCCAAAAUUGAGUAGGGCUUGCGCACAAGAGAUUUUUAUAUUUCCUUAAGAUGUAUAAUUCAUAUUAAUUAUAUAUAAUUAUGAUUAUCAAAAUAAUUUGUUUUUUUCAUAGAUGAUCAAUCCAUAGAGGGCUACAAAAUGAUGAUUAGGACUUGUAAUGAAUUCCGUGGACCAAACUGCAUGGUACAAUCCACGACUACCAACAAUCCCAUUGCUAGCUUUUUAUUGCAUUGAUAAUGCUUCCAACCCAUCCAAUGGCUGAUAACCAUAUCAAAGACAGGGAUAAUAAAAUUAGAAAAGAAACAAUAAAAUGAAUUAUCACUAAGAGUCUGGAAUAUUUAGGAGGAAGAACUGAAUACACAAGUGAAUCAACAAAAUAUUAUUAAUAUAUGGAUUCCACAUUACCCUAUAUUUGCAUGAUUAAACCGUUAAUUCAUAUAUAAAACCAAGUGAACUACACAGAGUACAUUA